AUGAAAUCACCAUGCUCUUGCAGUCAGGGUUUGUACAGGUUGGUGGGCUGGGUUUGCAUUGUCUUCUUUUGUGCCGGACUGCAGGAGCAGAAGAGGAAGCUGACCACGUGCCUCCGUUCACAUGCAAAGCCCUUCCAUGUCAGCGGGGUCAUGCUCCACGUGUUGUUCUGCCACUGCCUUUGGUUUCUCGACACUGCCUCGUGGACACAGGAAGAGCUUGCAGCUGGUGACGAACUCUCCAGGAGGUUCACAUGCCAUUUAGAAAGUGAGUUCAGUGCCUGGGGACUAAUCAAUGAUGAGAUUUUCCCACCUCGUCCUGACAGGAAUGACACACAGCUGAGAAGAUGGCAGUGGUGCUUUUCCUUUAGGGGAAGAAAGGAGGGCCCCCCGGAAACCUUCUCUCCUAUCUGAUUCAUGCUCAUUCAUAAUGCAGCAGGCUUGGGAGCUGUAAAUAACAUGCUAGUGCAAGAAGGCAAGCCAGUCAGGCAGUCUUAUAGAUCACUGCUCCAUCUGUCACACUGACACAAGGAUUCACGCUACUGAGGCCGGUGGCUCUUCACAGGGAGUUGAGAUGGCAAGAAGCAGAGGCAUCUCGGAGGAGAUGCCCAUUUUAGGGUUUGAUGAAAGUUGAGUGAAAUAAUGCUCAGUACAAUAGUCAGACACAGUAAGACUGAAUGCCGACCAUGUGACAGGCACUGUGACCAGCCCAAGGCAUCAAAUAUCAGAUCAAAUAAGAGGCUGGCAAGGGUGGACCUUAAGGACACAUUUACCCGGGAAGGCCCCUGGCAGGUGCUCAGUGCUGAGUACAAUGAACAGUAAAGGCAAGUUGAACGUCUGACGUUCCGAGACCUAGGAUGACCCAGGAGUCCAGUGGGAAAGUCCAAAGGGCAGCCACAAGCCAGCCUCCUUUUUCUCCUCUGCAUAGCCUAAGGAAACACUCCCUUGGAAUAACAGAAAAGACUAAAGAUUUCUCCAUUUUACAACCAAAAGAUAUUAAGCAAUAUGAAAGAAAUACUUCCCUGGACUUAAAGAAAAGACUAGAGAUGUGCUCAUUUUGUACCUAAAAGAGAUUGAGAUUCUCGGGAAAUUUUGGCCUGAGAUCCUGAACCAUCUGGCCAUGCCCUAAGCCUUUGCUGGCAGCAAGUAUGUUUCAAGCUCCUCUAAAAACGUGUCAGUCAAGCAUUGAUACAUUUACAGGGAGAGUGAGAAACAGUAUUAUUGAAUUUGGGAGACUAAGGCCUUAACUCUGACUUUUAAAGGCUCACUAGGAUUUCUUAUGGGCCUUGAGGCUUGGAUUAUUUUCAAAGGCGACCACUUUAAGCUGCACCCAGAGAGAAGCUCAAGUUGCAUAGCAUCGAGUUUCUGAGAAGGUUACUAACAGCUGUCCUCGAAAUAUACCACCUUCCCUGCCUCUUCCCUCCUUGGGAGGAGCUGUAUAAAACAGGAGCUGAGGCCCUAGGGGAGUUGGAGAACGUUCCUGAGAGAUUAUGGAUCUGGAGGGUUGCAUGCAUUUGCAGAAGCUCAAGGCCAUCUCUUUCCCACCCUUCUGUUUUGAAGAGCCAGGCCCUUCCACGUGGUCCUCAGCAGGGUAAUGGGGGUGGGUGAUGCAUCAGAAUAUCCUGGAUACAUUUUAAAAAAUAGAUUUGUCACCUCCACCACC
rnacentral:lncRNA from 1 species